CCUACGGGAGGCAGCAGUAAGGAAUCUUCCACAAUGGACGAAAGUCUGAUGGAGCAACGCCGCGUGCAGGAUGAAGGCUUUCGGGUCGUAAACUGCUUUUAUAUGGGAAGAUUAUGACGGUACCAUAUGAAUAAGGACCGGCUAACUACGUGCCAGCAGCCGCGGUAAUACGUAGGGUCCAAGCGAUAUCCGGAAUUACUGGGCGUAAAGCGUGUGUAGGUGGAUUAAUAAGUGUGAUGCGAAAUCCGGCGGCUCAACCGUUUGGACUGUGUCGCAUACUGUUAGUCUAGAGGACGGCAGAGGUAAGUGGAAUUACGGGUGUAGCAGUGAAAUGCGUAGAUAUCCGUAGGAACACCAAUGGCGAAGGCAGCUUACUGGGCCACACCUGACACUGAGACACGAAAGCGUGGGGAGCGAACAGGAUUAGAUACCCUGGUAGUCCACGCCGUAAACGAUGCAUACUAUUAGUAUGGGGUAUCGACCCCCUGUGCUGAGAAGCUAACGCGAUAAGUAUGCCGCCGNGGGAGGUACGAGCGCAGACUUAAACUACGAAGAGUAGUAGCGNGAGAGACGCGACGACGACGACGACGGAGGAGG
rnacentral:rRNA from 1 species